UAUUUUAUGCGCUGCGAUCCCUAUUCUA
rnacentral:sRNA from 1 species